rnacentral:lncRNA from 1 species
GCCUCCCGCGGCGGGCCGGGUCUCCAGGGAGGACCUGAGUUUUCUUCACCCAUUGUCAGGGAGGCGCCAUCGCCCUGGCUUUGGGGCUGGGGCCUCCGGGGAGGUUCCGGUAGGGGCGUUGGAGAGGCCGCUCUUUUUGCAAGGCCCGAGACGGCGGGCCUUGCGCAGGCCGCCCUAUUCCGCGCCCUCAGGGCGUCAGUAUCAGCCUGAGGCUGGAUACCCCCGCUGGGCCCAGAUGCCCCCGCUGGGCCCGGAGCAUCCUCCGGCGCUGCCCUCCCAGAGCCACGCAGAGGCUGAGGUGGCGCGGGGGCGGCCCUGGCUCCGCGAGAAGCGGCGGCAGCGAGGGCUGGAGGACCCGGGCUGCGGGGCUCCGGGGCGUCUGGCCUGGGUGGGACUGAGCCCAUCCAGGGACUGGGACUCCGGGGUUCUGGUGUAGGUGGAUCCGGGGCAGGCUCAGGACCAAGUCCCUCUCCUUCCACCAAGGAGCGCCCAGAGGCCGGCGGGAGCUCCAGGUUCACCUCCUCCUCCUCCAGGGAAGACUGAAGUUUUACUGAAACACAGCGAUGGGAAUCUGACCCUCUGAGCAGCCUCAGGAUUUUCUAAGUCUUCCAAGCAGAGUGGAAAUUCUGGAAAUCCCACUUCCAACUGGAUGUCUGGAUGAACUACUGAAAGCUGCUGAGUGUCCUGCAGCAGGUGAGCUGUGGCCAGAGCCCAAGGAUGAAGGGGGCUCCCUCACUCUGUGACUGUGAAGAGGAACCCUGAGGUGUAGCAGGCCCAGGCCCCAGAAGUAUGGAAAAAAUGAGGCCAUUUCCAAUCCAGCGGAAGACCUUCUAGAAGAGAUGAUGGUGGGAGAGUGCUGACAUACUAUGUGAAGCUACUAUUUGGAGUUGGACACGAGUGCAUGUGUCCUUGUGCCACAACGGGAAUGUGAGCUGGAUGACAAAUGGAGAUUUGGACUUGUGAUAAUUGGCCUCUGUGUCAUUGUGUGGAAGACUGACUGGUCCCUUUAUUUCCUGUAGCUUGACUACAACACAAAUGAAUCCACUCAAAUGUUGGCAAGUGGAGCAGAGUCCCAGAACAGGUAAGGCACUUUCCCUGCUUUUUCUUAAGAUCAAUCCUCAUGCCUACAAAUUAAAGUCACAUCCCACACGAUCAUUAAAGUAGAGAGUGCAUUCUGCAGGAUGAGUGAAAAGGCAUUUAUGAUUCUUGGGGGCAGAUGUUCUACAGUUGCCUGUGCUAGUUCAUGUCUUUCUGCAGAUCACAUUCUUAACCUCUAGAGAGUCUGGCAGGACCAGAGCCUUACCUUUCCCAGUCUGCAAUCUCUACAGGUACAGAAACACCCCCAGUUCAAGGAUCUUCACACCUGGAUUUAGGCCUACUCCUGCAACUACCCCAGGUAAGUUUCCUUGUUCUUCAAUGGCAAAGUUUGGACAAUGCUGUUCAAACUCCAGGCAACAAGCAACAUCUAGGGAAUGUGCUUUUAGGUAGGGUCAGCAUAAUAUCCCACCCUGGGAGACAUUUUUAUUUUAAAGUUGUAGAGGGUGUUGCUGCUGUCGGCUCCCUGCCAAUCAGCACCAUUUGCAGCCUCUUUUGAAGACAGAGAACUGAGGGCUGUCCUUCGAAUGGAGCAGUGUGAUUCCAAAAAAAGAGAUGCUCCUUGUGGUCCUGGGACCAGGGAUAGGACUCCAGUUGAGCCUGGUGGAAGAGGUCCUUGUCCUACCCCAACGGAGAGCCAUGCAGCUGAGCUUGGGCGAUGUGGUCCACGUGGUUGUUUCUGAGUGUGUCCUGAGGUUGCAGGAUGGCUUGCAGUUCCCUAUGCAGAUCCAAUGCAUCUUUUGCUUUUUUGCUUCUACAACCUGGAAUUUAUAUGUUCAAGAUGGAGCCAUCCCAGCCAUGACAACAGAGAAUGUACCACUCUCACUUGAGGAAGAGGGGUAGGCAGUGCUCCUGUAUCACCAGCCCUUAAUGAGACCCUGAGGAAACCACAUCAUGGAGAUCAGCCCUUCUCUCCUGUAAGGAACUCAUCCUAUGAAAGAGCAAUUAGUGCCUGCAAGAGCUGUCUCUGGGACAGCGGUUCAUGUCUAUAUCUGCAGGGUAACCCUCAUAGUCAUAUGCAGUCAUAUCCAUAGUCAUAUCGGGAGUCAGAUUCCAGUUUGACUGAGUGAGUGGAGAAACUAAACAUUUAUUACUGAAUAAUAACAUUAAUAAACCAUCUUAAUGAUAGUAAUAAUAAACAUAUUGAUGAGUAUUAACAGGAAUGAUGAUGAUUAUUAUGAUACUAAUAUCCAUAAUUAACAAUUUUAAUAUUGAUAAUAAUACAACCCUGUGGACUUGGGACCUAAACAGCAGUUUCCCCUUACAAUUAUCCCAUAUUUGGCCACAGGGGGUAAUGUUGAGUUCCAGAAGGCAAGGAUUAACAUUCAGAAAAUAGGAAAAACAACCUGCAGGUAAGCAUGUGCACACAUUGGGACUCUAUGGAUAAAUACUAAAGUGACUCUUGUUCUGGAUCUCCAUGCUAACAAACAUGCACCAGCUUUCAGGAGGUAGUACAGCUGGCUGAUGGGGCAAGGCUUCUUGAGGACAUGGCAGGAGUCAGAAAUCACACAUGCUGCCCAGCAGCAGAGCUCAUGACAAACAGUAAACCCCAGCGAAAGGACCUGGCUGCCCUUUCUGCCAUCUGCUCUCCCAUGACCUCUCUUGACUGGUACAUCUAGGCACUGGAAUAACCUUCACUGGCUAUAGGAGGGCAUAAUCCUCAGUAUUCUCCCACCUGCAAGAAAGACAAAAAUUAAUUGAAUACCAUGGCUUCUGGGUAUCCUUAGUGGGCUUAGCGUAUUUUGCAUUUGCUUUAACAGGCCAGUUAUCCAGGCAGUGACUUUCAGUGCAGCUACAGUCACCUCUGGAAACCUGUGGAGACUUUAAAAAUUUCCAAAAGGUCAGGAAUUUUUGGAGACCUUUCUCAUGGCUACGUUUCCUGCAAACGUGAAUCAAUAAGCUUCUGAACUGACUUAGAAAAUGUUGCAGAGACUCUUGUGAACAGAUAGACCCUCUCCUGCCACUCAGAUAGAUGUAUCUGGGUCACACACACCUGAUUUAACAUCUCAUUAUCUCAGGUGGGCAACAGACAGCAAUUUAGGACCUAUCCCAGUGUGGAUGAAAGACAUUGAGUUGGCUUAGAAAAAUGUUAGAUAGACUAGAUGGGGCAAGAAAGCCCAUUCUGGGGCUCAAAAGCCUUCACAUAGAGUUGCUGACACAUAAAGGGUAUGUAUAAAUUCUUUCUCAGACCAUGAGAUCAGGAUGUACUUCAUCAGUAUACCAUGCUGGUAUAAAGAGAUUCUUGCCUCCAAAGGGACUCAGAAUAUUUCAGGGAACCUGUAUUAGUCCAUUUUUACACUGUUGUAAAGACACUACCCCACACUGGGUAAUUUACAAAGGGAAGUUGUUUAAUUAAUUCACAGUUCUGCAUCACUGGGGAGGCCUCAGGAA